rnacentral:rRNA from 1 species
AGUGAACGCUGGCGGUAGGCCUAACACAUGCAAGUCGAACGGCAGCACAGUAAGAGCUUGCUCCUACGGGUGGCGAGUGGCGGACGGGUGAGGAAUACAUCGGAAUCUACUUUUUCGUGGGGGAUAACGUAGGGAAACUUACGCUAAUACCGCAUACUACCUACGGGUGAAAGCAGGGGAUCUUCGCACCUUGCGCGAUUGAUUGAGCCGAUGUCGGAUUAGCUAGUUGGCGGGGUAAAGGCCCACCAAGGCGACGAUCCGUAGCUGGUCUGAGAGGAUGAUCAGCCACACUGGAACUGAGACACGGUCCAGACUCCUACGGGAGGCAGCAGUGGGGAAUAUUGGACAAUGGGCGCAAGCCUGAUCCAGCCAUACCGCGUGAGUGAAGAAGGCCUUCGGGUUGUAAAGCCCCUUUGUUGGGAAAGAAAAGCAGCAGGUUAAUCCCCCGCUGUUCUGACGGUACCCAAAGAAUAAGCACCGGCUAACUUCGUG